UCUCUCAUUUAACGGAUCAAAAGUACACAGACAAAAAGACGCGUAUACGACCCAACUAAACAAAAGAGAAGAAACCACGUAAAGUUGAAAAUGCAGGAGAUAAAUAGUAAAAGAAUAAUUAAAAAGGAAAUAUCGCCGCGACAAAAAACCGAUUCCGACGUCUGAGGAAACGAAUACUUCCAAACAGGAAAAAACCAGUCGAACCCAGCAUCAAUAUCUAAAACGCAUCGAGGGAGGAUCCUGUUUCUAUUGUCGAUCGGUCUUUCAUCCAAUCGAAUGAUCACCGACAGGUGUUUUACAUGAAAGCCUCUAUAAAAAGCGAGAGAAAAAAAGGGGGAAGGGGAAGAGGCGAAACACAGAGGAAAAAGAGAAACAGGAGAGCAAAAACUGGGAGAAAUUAUCCACGAUAACAAGAGUGGAAUGAAAUAAAGUUAAAGGAUCAACGCUCUAAAAGCAAGCAGGAUCAAGUAAUUAAUGCUGGGAG
rnacentral:misc_RNA from 1 species